GAUGAACGCUGGCGGCGUGCCUAAUACAUGCAAGUCGAACGAGUGGCGGACGGGUGAGUAAUGUCUGGGAAACUGCCCGAUGGAGGGGGAUAACUACUGGAAACGGUAGCUAAUACCGCAUACCAUCGGAUGUGCCCAGAUGGGAUUAGCUAGUAGGUGGGGUAACGGCUCACCUAGGCGACGAUCCCUAGCUGGUCUGAGAGGAUGACCAGCCAAACUGGAAAUGAAACAAGGUCCAGACUCCUAAGGGAGGGAGCAGUGGGGAAUAUUGGACAAUGGGGGCAAGCCUGAGGCAGCCAUGCCGCGUGUAUGAAGAAGGCCUUCGGGUUGUAAAGUACUUUCAGCGAGGAGGCGUUACUCGCAGAAGAAGCACCGGCUAACUCCGUGCCAGCAGCCGCGGUAAUUC
rnacentral:rRNA from 1 species